rnacentral:rRNA from 1 species
ACUUUGAUUCUGGCCCCAGGAUGAACGCUANCGGCAGGCUUAACCCAUGCAAGUCGAAGGGGUAACAUUGGUGCUUGCAUCAAGAUGACGACCGGCGCCCCGGGUGAGUAACCGCGUAUGUAAACCUACCUUAUCACAGGGGGGAUAGCCCGGAGAAAUUCGGAUUAAUUCCGCAUAGUUUUGAGAUAUUGCAUGAUAUUUCAAAUAAAAUUUCGGUGGUGAUAGAUGGACAUGCGUAUGAUUAGUUAGUUGGUGAGGUAACGGCUCACCAAGGCGACGAUCAUUAGGGGUUCUGAGAGGAAGGUCCCCCACACUGGUACUGAGACACGGACCAGACUCCUACGGGAGGCAGCAGUGAGGAAUAUUGGUCAAUGGACGGAAGUCUGAACCAGCCAUGCCGCGUGCAGGAUGACUGCCCUAUGGGUUGUAAACUGCUUUUCUAAAGGAAGAAAUGUAUCUACGUGUAGGUAUUUGCCGGUACUUCAGGAAUAAGGAUCGGCUUACUCCGUGCCAGCAGCCGCGGUAAU